UCCUGCUCAACCAGAAAUUCAAGUACCAGAAAUUGCAGUAAUCUCUCUGAUUCUCUAGUUCCUCAGUUGGUAAGCCUAUUUCUUGAUGUGGUUCUGCAGAUUAAAUGAGAUCAUCUGCAGCAAAUUCCUUUACAUUCCCGAAGAUGGUCCGCCCUGAAAUCCGCUGUAUCUUGGAGAGCUACCAAAGGGGCAUGAAGGAAAGUGGUGAAGAAGAAGAAAAAGAAGAAGAGAGAGGAGCAGAAGAAGCAUGCCACAGAAGCAGAACAGCAGAACCUGCAAGAUAUCAAGAGGUGACUCCCGAGUCCUGGUGCAGUGCCGUUUAGAGCACAGCAGAGGUGGCAAGCAACAGCCAGAAUCUGUGGACAAUGUAAGCAAUCCUCAGUGACUUCCAAAAAUUCCUUUGGGAAGGAAACUCAGGAGGAAA